GUAAUUUCCUGCAACCUGUGGAGGUAACUGUCGCGCGGAGGUCCGCCAUUGCGUCUGCAUCUGCUUUUGUUUCUCACAGCGAUGCAGCCAUCCAUAAUUAAGACUGGAUGCCAGUUAAAGAGUACAACUGGGAACGGUUUACAGCUGGGCUGCCCUCUGUGUCCCAAAUUCACCACCACACGUGCAAAGACCAUGUGCAGACAUCUGGAGUCCCACAUCAAAAAUGCAGUAUAUUUCCAAGAUACAAACAUUUGCAGAUGCAACCUGCCUUGCCGAGACACAGGUCAUUACCACUGUCCACACUGUGAGAAAACAAUCAUGCGCAAAGAGGAUAUGACAUUACACGUAACUGGAUGUCGAAACACAUGUGAUACAGUGCCACCUUCGGCAUAAAUCGGGGCACCUGCAUCAUCGUCGUCAUCCUUUUUCACUCCCCGUGCUUCCCAGCAGAGGUCAGCACAGCCUCCUUUGGAGUGUCACUUUCCCCCAUCAGCUGGAGAGGACACUGUAAUGUCAGACCAUUGUUACACACUUGUGUCACCUGUUGACACUCCGCAAACCUGUCAGCCAAACUCAGCUCCCCCUCCAGACGCCUGUCUGUCUGUCUGAAGCCGCAUAGCUGCUCUCUUCACGUGUGAUGUAUUUAAAGUCAGUUAAGUGCCCUCACUGCGCCGUCGUUCUCUAC